GGUGGUAUGGCGAAAUUGGAAGACGCUUCAUAAAUCGGUUAAAUAGGAUUAUCCUUAAUUGAGAUAACUUCAUUCCGAUAAGACUUCUUGGACGGAAGGUGCAGGUUCGAGUCCUGCUACCACCA
rnacentral:tRNA from 2 species